CAUUUUCGCCCGACAUCCACUGCUACCCCGCGAGGGGCGAUGGAGGAACAAAGAGAUGAAUAUGUAUGCGUCGAGAGCAAUCUGUGCAGCGUUUGCAGUUUCGUAAUCGCUCUAACGGCGCCAGCUACCAAGGUCUUACUGGAGCAUAACCACUUUAUAAAGACGGGAGAAGGAGGCUAUACCAUACCUCUUCGGGCACCCAGAACCACUUGGCAUACAAAGUAAAGCUCUCUGUCCCCGGCCAUUGCGGAACUAAAAGUGCAUUUCAUUUCUGCGACAAACGGAGGGGAAAAGUUGACAGGAACGGAGAGAAUAAUGAUAUAUUAUAAGUGCUGGGAAUAGUCAUUAAAAGCACUCACCGUUACGCCUUAACCAAGCGAACUAAGCAAACUAAUUAAAAGCAAACAAAUCCGUCAGCUUGUUCUCACAAGUGAAAUAUUCGGCACUUGACUACUCACUGUGGCAGAACUUUGGGCCUGCGGACAACCGAGUGCGCACCGUACAGGGCGCCCCAUCGGAGGUGAAAAGUGUCAAGUCAGGUGGCCAGAACCGUUGGGCUGAGUGGACAGACCAACAUGUUCCGAAUAACUCCAGUUGCCUCGUGGAACUCAGAGCCCGUGUCUAAAUGCAAAUGUCAACAUGGGGAAGACAGCUUCCUCUUAGUAUGCAUCGACGCACUUGGCGGAUAAGAAGCCGAACUGCAAUUAGUGCCACGAUCAACAUGCGAGGCACGCACGUCCAGAGGAGAAGCACUCCUCCUCUCUGUGCCAGACCAGCCCAUACCCAUGCCACUACCCAUACCAUCUGAUCCAUACCAUACCCACUGGAACUCACUGCAGAGCCAUGUUUUUCUGUUCUAUCCUAUCUCCACUUCUGGAAGUUCUCUCUGUCUAUCUCGAACACGCAGAAAAAUACAAUUGUAUUGUUAGUUCUAAAAGUUAUAAAUAUUCACAUUUUACUGAAAGUAAUCGAAGUCAUUAAACCAAAACGAUUUUUCCUAAGAUAAAAGGAAAAAUCGUUUAUUUCGAUAA